rnacentral:rRNA from 1 species
UACGUAGGGUGCGAGCGUUGUCCGGAAUUACUGGGCGUAAAGCGCGUGUAGGCGGCCCUGCAAGUCGGGUGUGAAAUCCCACGGCUCAACCGUGGAAGUGCACUCGAAACUGCAGGGCUAGAGUCCUGGAGAGGAAGGUGGAAUGCUUGGUGUAGAGGUGAAAUGCGUAGAUAUCAGGAGGAACACCGGUGGUGUAGACGCUUUCUGGACCGUAACUGACG